rnacentral:rRNA from 1 species
UACGGAGGGUGCAAACGUUGCUCGGAAUCAUUGGGCGUAAAGCGCACGUAGGCGGCCUGUUAAGUCGGGUGUGAAAGCCCUGGGCUCAACCCAGGAAGUGCACACGAAACUGGCGGGCUUGAGUAUGGAAGAGGGUCGCGGAAUUCCCGGUGUAGAGGUGAAAUUCGUAGAUAUCGGGAGGAAUACCGAUGGCGAAGGCAACUGCCUGGGCCUGAACUGACACUGUGACUCGAAAGCGUGGGUAGCAAACAGG